rnacentral:lncRNA from 1 species
AUGAAUGAGAAGAGGACUGGAAAGAUGCUUGCUGAAGGAAGGCUCCCAUUUGUCCUCUGCUACUCAGAACUUGUGCAAAAUGUGGCUUAUUGUCAUGACAAAGACACUGUCAGGCCAAGCCUUGUCAGCGUUCCUGAGAUGCCAGGCCACCUGUCAGUGUGUUUGGGAGGGGCAGACCACUGCCAUGCAUUCCAGCACACCUCACAAGGUAUGAUAAUUUGCUUUGAGGUUAUUUUAUAAAAAGCCAAACUGUCUACUUUAAAUAUGUGAAAAUGAACAUGUUGUCUUGAAGAUUUUUUGCCUUUAUUUGCGGUUGAAUUUUUUUCUGUCCAGAGACCACUUUACGAUUAGCUAGGAGACCCUAAAGACUCCAAUACUGUUUUCAUAAAAUGGGAAAUAAGCAAUAUACAAGAAAUUGGACAACUUUUGCUAGGUAAGUAGAUGCAAUUUUUUCGAGUUUGUUUUGGAAUUUUGAAUCAGAUUGCCAGUGAAUAAAAGCCAUCCUAUCACCACAUUUUACUGUGAUUUGCUUUUUGUAUGAAUAUUUGGAAAAAUAUUGCAUUUGUGCCACAUUUAAAGCAUAACAAUGGAAGAUAAAAGAACAGGUUGGGAUUUUGCAUAUAAACUGCAG